ACCUUCACCAUGGCAUGGUUGUUUGUGCCAGAUGGGCUGGUUUGAGUAUGCUGGACUGCACAUCACCUAGGAUUUUCACACACAACUGUCUCUUGAGUUUACACAGAAUGGUGUGAAAAAACAAAAAACAUCCAGUGAACAGCGGAUCUGUGGGUGGAAAUGCCUUGUUGAUGAGAGUGGAGAGGUCAGAGGAGAAUGGCAAGACUGGUUCAAGCACUGAAACUCUGCUGUGUGUUGUUUGAAGUUCAGGCUUUAUUCAGCAAGCUUGCGGUGAGCCUCCUGGCUUUUGCUUUCUCUUCUGCCAUGGCCUGGAGUCAAUCCCCAUUUUGACUGUACUGCUGCCUCUAAAAAUGGGUCACGGGGAACCUGAAGCCUAUCCCACAAGAUGGCACAAGACGGUGUACACCCAGAUGCUGCUUUUAUUCAAAAACUAAAAAUAAGAGGCAAAAUAUUUAGUUGACGUUACUAAGUAGAGUCAGAAGAGAAGAAAAAACAAUUAACAUCAACUCUGUUUUGCUGAGAGAGUCAGCAAUUCUCUUCAUGAACAGGUGUUCAGUUUCUAAUUAUAACCUUUAAUCAGAGGCUGUCUUUGAUUGGUUUUAAGAGAGGAGAGAGGAGUGAAAAGGGCAAGGAGUGAAAAGGGCAAGCAAUCAGAAUAUUCUCAGUUGUACAGUAUAUAUUUUCAUCUUGGCAUGGGAGAAAAUGAUUGAAUGUGUUUUUCCCCCUAAUUAUUUUAUCUUUUACUAAAGUUACUUAAACCAGUUUGAAUUACACUACACAUGACUCCUUGCGCAGUAAAUAGUUGAGCUGAGUGGUGAGAAUGAAGCAAGCUCACUUUGAGCUCUCUGCAAAAAUCCUUUUGUUCUGCUAUAUAAAGGAAGUU